AUGCACAUGGCUUUGAGGAUACUCAACUUGACCACAAGUUCAUCCAGAUGUGAAAGAAAUUGGAGCAUUUUUGAACAAGUAGAUGCAAAGAGGAGAAAUAAACUAGAUGUGCGUCGUAGGGACGAUCUACUUUAUAUUCAAUUCAAUGGAAGAAUGCUAGACAAGAGAAAGAAGUACUCAUCAUCUUGUGAUGUCCUCCUUGGUGAAGAUGCUUCCGCAACCCAAGAUUGGAUAUGUGAAGAUGCUUACAUUGAUGAUGAGAUGGGGGCAACCGAAGAUGACAAUGCAAUGGAGCCUCAUAGAAGUCUUAGGGUGAGAGAACUACAUGAGGUGGAAGAGUUCGUUUGCGAUGAUGAAUCUGACAUUGUGCCUAUCAAUGAGGAUGAGGUAGAGUUCGAGUCUGAUGAUGAUGGGGUUGGGAUAGAAGAAUCCAAUGAAAAUGGUGGGGAAGACUAG
rnacentral:rRNA from 1 species